rnacentral:rRNA from 1 species
AUUGAACGCUGGCGGCAGGCCUAACACAUGCAAGUCGAGCGGAUGAAGGGAGCUUGCUCCUGGAUUCAGCGGCGGACGGGUGAGUAAUGCCUAGGAAUCUGCCUGGUAGUGGGGGAUAACGUCCGGAAACGGGCGCUAAUACCGCAUACGUCCUGAGGGAGAAAGUGGGGGAUCUUCGGACCUCACGCUACCAGAUGAGCCUAGGUCGGAUUAGCUAGUUGGUGGGGUAAAGGCCUACCAAGGCGACGAUCCGUAACUGGUCUGAGAGGAUGAUCAGUCACACUGGAACUGAGACACGGUCCAGACUCCUACGGGAGGCAGCAGUGGGGAAUAUUGGACAAUGGGCGAAAGCCUGUUCCAGCCAUGCCGCGUGUGUGAAGAAGGUCUUCGGAUUGUAAAGCACUUUAAGUUGGGAGGAAGGGCAGUAAGUUAAUACCUUGCUGUUUUGACGUUACCAACAGAAUAAGCACCGGCUAACUUCGUG